rnacentral:rRNA from 1 species
GACGAACGCUGGCGGCGUGCCUAAUACAUGCAAGUAGGACGCACAGUUUAUACCGUAGCUUGCUACACCAUAGACUGUGAGUUGCGAACGGGUGAGUAACGCGUAGGUAACCUGCCUAUUAGAGGGGGAUAACUAUUGGAAACGAUAGCUAAUACCGCAUAACAGUAUGUAACACAUGUUAGAUGCUUGAAAGAUGCAAUUGCAUCGCUAGUAGAUGGACCUGCGUUGUAUUAGCUAGUAGGUAGGGUAAUGGCCUACCUAGGCGACGAUACAUAGCCGACCUGAGAGGGUGAUCGGCCACACUGGGACUGAGACACGGCCCAGACUCCUACGGGAGGCAGCAGUAGGGAAUCUUCGGCAAUGGGGGGAACCCUGACCGAGCAACGCCGCGUGAGUGAAGAAGGUUUUCGGAUCGUAAAGCUCUGUUGUUAAGGAAGAACGAGUGU